UCCCCUUGUCAAUGGGCAGAGAUACCUUGUUGGUGGUGGUGUUCUUAUAUCAGUCGGGGCAGAAUAGAUGGCUGCCCUUUGCUCAUACUAGCCUGAUGCCUAGUUUGGUGGCCAAAGCUGUUUUAUGCCUAGGACACAUAA